CUUUGAAAUGUAAUUUUGCUAUGUAUACUGUAAAAUGAAUCUGUCGCCGUAAAUAUCCUCCAUCAGGGAUGCACUGUGAUCGUCUUUUUCCCUUUUCUGUGUAGAUGAUGGAUGCACCGAUGCUGGUGUCAUCACUUGACAUAUUUCUUGUGUGUACUACUGUUAUUCUUUUCUGUGUUAUACUGAUGUUCAGUAGUUGUCGUUUGUUGGAGUUGUUCAUAAGUGUUUCUCGUUUUUUAUAUAGAUUAGACCGUUGUUUUUUUCCGUUUUUUUUUUUACACUAGAAUUGUUUUGGGCCCUUUAUAGCUUACUGUUCGGUGUAAGCCAUGGCUCCGUGUUAAAGCAUGUAUUUCGACCUAUCAUGGUUUACUUUUAUAAAUUGUGACUCGGAUGGAGAGUUGUCUCAUUGGCACUCAUACCACAUCUUCUUAUAUCUAUUCAUAUCAUAUUUCAUUUGUCAUAUUGAUUAUCAUAUCACAUUGAUGCUUGACGAUUAACAAAUCCAAAUCAAACACACAUUUUUACCUGCAUGCUUACUAAUUACCACCAUAAAAUCCCUUCCGGCUUUACUGUAAUAUCUUUGCAUACCUGUAUUUUUCAUUCAGGUGUUGGAAUCUGUGGAUGGUGUGCGCUAUAAGCUAUAUUUUUACGUUUGUUUUUUCUGUUUCUUUUUUUUUAGGUUCGGUUCUAAUAUUUUCGUUAUUAAUAACUGCUUAAUUUCUUUGAUUGCUAUUGUUCAAUGGUAUAUUUAUACUAUUUGUAAACAUCAAUAUGUAUAUAUUUAUAGAAUAAAUAAUUAGAGGGCCCUCCCGAACUUAUAUGCGUACUUCAAUCUAAUUUUUACACAUAUUUAGAAAAGAUAUUUUAAUACAUCUUUCGAUUUUUACCAUCCCCCAAACUUAUAUACCACGUGAAGUAUACUAAGGAAAACAUAGAUUUUUGUUUAAAGCACCGUAUUCAGUAUCAGCAAGGAGGUUAUAAUAUAACCUCCUUGGUAUCAGCAUGAUAGAUC
rnacentral:lncRNA from 1 species